rnacentral:lncRNA from 1 species
ACCUAUAAAACUUAAGCUAAUAAAGAAAAGGUCAACCAUAUAUAUCAGGCAUUCAAAGUUGGACUUUUUAUAUCACAUCCCUAGUCGGACAGACACAUAACUAGGAAUGCGACAAUCCACUGCAUACUCAUAGGAUAGGGUUCCAUGAGCAUACAAGAUGAUAACCUAUCAAUAACAUACUAAAUUAAGAAAAUAAUAUUCACAACUUAAGAUCUACUAAUUCAAAUUCUAAAAUAAAUCAUUCAUAGCUACCAUACAAAGAUAACUUCAGUCACAUAAUUUACAUAUUUAUACAUAAAAUAGUAUAGAG